rnacentral:rRNA from 1 species
CAGUAGCGCGGUAAUACGUAGGUGGCAAGCGUUGUCCGGAAUUAUUGGGCGUAAAGGGCUCGCAGGCGGUUUCUUAAGUCUGAUGUGAAAGCCCCCGGCUCAACCGGGGAGGGUCAUUGGAAACUGGGAAACUUGAGUGCAGAAGAGGAGAGUGGAAUUCCACGUGUAGCGGUGAAAUGCGUAGAGAUGUGGAGGAACACCAGUGGCGAAGGCGACUCUCUGGUCUGUAACUGACGCUGAGGAGCGAAAGCGUGGGGAGCGAACAGGAUUAGAUACCCCGGUAGUCCCUGUCUCUUAUACA